rnacentral:rRNA from 1 species
GACGAACGCUGGCGGCGUGCCUAAUACAUGCAAGUCGAACGGUCUUUUCUAUGGAAGCUUGCUUCCACUGAGAAGAUAGUGGCGAACGGGUGAGUAACACGUGGGUAACCUGCCCAUAAGAGGGGGAUAACAUCCGGAAACGGGUGCUAAUACCGCAUAGUUUUCUUGAUCGCAUGAUUGAGAAAGGAAAGACGGCCUUUGCGCUGUCGCUUAUGGAUGGACCCGCGGCGUAUUAGUUAGUUGGUGAGGUAACGGCUCACCAAGACGAUGAUACGUAGCCGACCUGAGAGGGUGAUCGGCCACAUUGGGACUGAGACACGGCCCAAACUCCUACGGGAGGUAGCAGUAGGGAAUCUUCCGCAAUGGACGAAAGUCUGACGGAGCAACGCCGCGUGAGUGAAGAAGGUUUUCGGAUCGUAAAACUCUGUUGUCAGAGAAGAACAAGUUGGAGAGUAACUGCUCCAGCCUUGACGGUAUCUGGCCAGAAAGCCACGGCUAACU